UGCACCCUCUUCCUUUCAGAGAUGAGGACAUCCCUGGGCAUUCUACAAACAUUUCAACUGGAAUCAAUCCUCAGUUGGCUCUCUAUAUUCCACUGCAGUAACACACCCUGAUUUCAAAGAAAUGCUGACAUGUGGAAGAUUAGCAUGAAGUGUUUAGAAGGCUGGAAGGAGAGAGGGGAGCACAGAAUUUAAAACUGCUUCAUUCUGCAAGGAAGAAACAUAUCUAUGGAAGUGUCUCUACGGCUGCUCUCCAUUUAACAAAGCAGCAGCACUGCUGUUGAGUGUCGGAGAUUUACCAGUGUGUCAUAGACCAACAGCUCCAUCCUGGGUUGCAUUUUGUCACGCCAAUGGACCUGAAACACACCUCCAAUUUUUUUGAGUAUGUGGGAAGAAAAGUGGACUUAAAGCUCAACUUGUCCAUUUCAUAAUACAGAAGGAUUUAGAAUUUUUUCAAUUUUGUGAAAACUAUGACUUCUUUUUAUAAGCCCAGUCUUAACUUCCAUUAUGAUACAGGAUGAAGACUUCACCCCAUGCUCAGCCUCCAAGCUGAAGGCACCCAGGAGAUGCCAUUCUCUCUCUCUCUACCUCUAGGCACCCUGGAAUGUAUAGGUCUUACCUGCCUACCUUUACGCUAAAUUUGUCCUGCCCCACUGUUAACUCAAAAUAAACUU